UACAGAGGCCACAAGCGUUAGUCGGAAUCACUGGGCUUAAAGGGUGCGUAGGCGGGCUCGAAAGCGUCUUGUGAAAGCCCCCGGCUCAACCGGGGAAUUGCAGGGCGAACUGCGAGUCUUGAGGCAGGUAGGGGCCGACAGAACAGUAGGUGGAGCGGUGAAAUGCGUAGAUAUCUACUGGAAUGCCGAUGGGGAAGCCGGUCGGCUGGGCCUGUCCUGACGCUGAGGCACGAAAGCGUGGGGAGCAAACAGG
rnacentral:rRNA from 1 species